rnacentral:rRNA from 1 species
UACGUAGGGUGCAAGCGUUGUCCGGAAUUAUUGGGCGUAAAGAGCUCGUAGGCGGUUUGUCGCGUCUGCUGUGAAAACUCGGGGCUUAACUCCGGGCCUGCAGUGGGUACGGGCAGACUAGAGUGCGGUAGGGGAGACUGGAAUUCCUGGUGUAGCGGUGAAAUGCGCAGAUAUCAGGAGGAACACCGAUGGCGAAGGCGGCUUUCUGGACGACAACUGACGCUGAGACGCGAAAGCGUGGGGAGCAAACAGG